GGCAAAAUGGAACUGCAGCCAAAAUCAGUGAUCUUAACCACCAUUCUACUGUCUACCACACAGUUGGUGGAUUUCAGACGGCCGUGGACUUCGGUCUUACUGGAGUGCAGGUCUCUUACCUUAGCAAUGUCAUACAAGACCGAGAUCUUAAACUCCCAAUCCAUGAAUGUACCAUCAGGGUAGGAGAUGGUGUCAUUUAAAACUUCCUGAACAGCAGAAAAAGAAAAGGAAGAAACUGUUGGAAGGAAGGAUCCUGUGGAGAUUGUUAUAGGCUAAUAAUGAUCUUCUAAUCAUGAGGCCUGGGGCUCAGAAGCAAACUGAAAUGCCAUUGUCCUGUUUUUCCUGAACGUGUAUUUCUUUCCUUUCCUAUGAAACAUCAGGUGGCUGUCGCCAUAAUAAAAUGAGGAGGAGAUA